GGCUCGGUGGUGUAGUUGGUUAUCACGUCAGUCUAACACCCGCCCGGAUGUACACUGAAGGUCCCGAGGUAAGCCAUCCCGCAUGCUAUUACGUCGUUACGCAUAACAUAUUAACCGCGCAAAGUUCGAAACUCGGCUGAGUCA